rnacentral:misc_RNA from 1 species
GAAAUGCGAUAAGUAAUGUGAAUUGCAGAAUUCAGUGAAUCAUCGAAUCUUUGAACGCACCUUGCGCUCCUUGGUAUUCCUUGGAGCAUGCCUGUUUGAGAAUCAUGAAACCUUCAAAGUAAAUCUUUUGUUAACUCAAUUGGUUUCUACUUUGGUAUUGGAGGUCUUUGCAGCUUCACACCUGCUCCUCUUUGUUCAUUAGCUGGAUCUCAGUGUUAUGCUUGGUUCCACUCGGCGUGAUAAGUUAUCUAUCGCUGAGGACACUGUAAAAGGUGGCCAAGGUAAAUGCAGAUGAACCGCUUCUAAUAGUCCAUUGACUUGGACAAUACUUUUAUGAUCUGAUCUCAAAUCAGGUAGGACUACCCGCUGAACUUAAGC